AUUUCAAACACACAUACAUUUCAAACAAACACCUACACCUCUCAGACAAACACUCUGGCCGCUCUCACCACUCACCUUAGUCGCGACCUCCAUUUCCUGAACUCACCAUCCAGUCCCGACCUCACAAACACUCUCACCUCUCUCACCUCACAAUCGCGACCUCCAUUUCAACAUCUCACCUCACAGUCUUGACCUCACAUGUCAAAUUAGGGUUUUGGUGUUCUCGAUUUGGAGAUUUUUGCUCAGUUCUCAACAUCACAUCUCCAUCACAACAUCUCAGUUCUCGAUUUGGGGAGUUGGGCAUCUACAAUUAAGUUUUUAGUGUUCUCGAUUUAGGGAUUUUGGUUUUCAACAUCACUUUUCGGUUGGGGUUUUGGUUCUGAGUUCAAUCCGUUCUUCAGGCUGGGGUUUGAGAGAGGGAUUGCUGAUGUGUGUUAAAAACUCUAAGCGUGGAUUUCAUUUUGCUGCUAAUAUCUCCAAUCUGUGCACAACUGCUUAGGACUGUGUUUCUUGCUUUCACAUCCUCAUCUAUGUUGUUUGUUUGUUCUUUUUUGAUGUGGUCGAUUUUGGAUAAGUUGGAGGAAGUCAGCGACUGAUUCUUGUAAAAUGGAGCCAGUAUAGUGUACUUAAGUCACUAGUUUUAGUAUGGGGAGUGGCUUGAAAAGUGGUCUUGUGUAAAGUUUCUGAAACAUCUGCCACACUCAGCAACGUUGGUGCUGUUGUACCUCCAGGAGGAGAUUUUUCUGACCCUGUUACAUCGGCCACACUCUGCAUCCUUCAGUAUCCUGGCAAAGCUUGACAAGGCAGAAAGGGUACUUUGCUUCAGAAGUGGAAUGGCUUCUUUGGCUACUUCUUUGAUACCAUGAAGGAAAUCGGUGCAUCCUCAAAGUCAUCUGUCUUUUUUGUCCCACAUGGACCUGGUGUAAUGAAAGACAUAGCCUCACAAAUCAGGGACGGUCUUUUCCAAGGCAAUGCUGCUCAGUAGUGAUAUAGUAUCUACAAUGAGCAUACGACAUUGAGAAGUGAUUUAUGUAGAUUUGAGACUAGGUUAUUUUGUUGUUUACUUGCUUCAUUAGGAAUGGAUUUAUGAAUGUACAAGGCAGAUAUUGUCAAAAUUUUAUGGAAAGUGUUGCAUUUUACUUUUGUCAAUGUUGCAAAUAUAAAUAACCUAGUGUUGCAUAUUGAAAUAUAUGGUGUUGCAAAAGAUAUGUGGGACCCACUAAUUAUUUUAUAAAAAUUUGGAUCAUGUGGGACCCAUCCAUGAAGUGGAAAGUGACUCAUCAAUGACGUGGCAAGUGGACCCAGCUGAUGUGGCAAGUGGGACCCAGCUGACGUGGCAGAUGAAGUGGGACCCACCUCUGCAAUGUGUCCACCUUUAGGGGCAACACCAGUAGAUGUUGCCUUUACAAAACAGUGGUGUUGCAUUAUAGGUAUAAGGCAAUACAUUUUCGGUGUUGCAUUACAUAGCAAUAAGCGUUGCCUUAUAGGUCAAAGGCAAGGCUCGCAUAUGCAACGCUCAGAAAGUGUUGCAUAUCUCGAUUUCGGGC